CCUACCUGGUUGAUCCUGCCAGUAGUCAUAUGCUUGUCUCAAAGAUUAAGCCAUGCAUGUCUAAGUACAAGCUGUGUUCACACGGCGAGACCGCGGACGGCUCAUUAAAUCAGUCUUUGUCCAAAUGGGCCAGUCCUUGCUUACUUGGAUAACUGUGGUAACUCCAGAGCUAAUACACGCAACUUAAAACUCCGAGGUUCGGGCGUCUCUUGCGCUUGUCGCUUGAUUCGUUUCCGACUGACGAGUGCUUUUAUUAGACCAAACUGCUGGGGAUCUUCGGUUCCGUUCGCGCGGUCCGUUGGUCUGGCUCGCUUUAUGGUGACUCUGAAUAACCAAUUUGACGAGCGCACGUACCCCUCUUUUGAGUGGGACGGCGCUGCCACUUUCGAGUGUCUGCCUUAUCAGCUGUCAACCGCUCGCUACACGCGACCGAUGGCUUUGACGGGUAACGGAGAAUCAGGGUUCGAUUCCGGAGAGGCAGCCUGAGAGACGGCUACCACGUCCAAGGACGGCAGCAGGCACGCAAAUUACCCAAUCCCAGCAACUGGGGGAGGUAGUGACGAAAUCUAACGAUGCGGGCGCCCUUUCUGGGCCCCGCAAUCGGAAUGAGCACUUUCUAAACAACCUGUUGAGAACCUACUGAAGGGCAAGUCUGGUGCCAGCAGCCGCGGUAAUUCCAGCUUCAGCAGCAUCUAUUAAAGUUGCUGCGGUUAAAAGGCUCGCAGUUGAAUGUCAGUGCCAGGCGCUGGAUAGGUGGACGUUGGGGCGUGGGAAUACGGCAAUUUCGUGGUGUUGGCCUUCGGGUCUCAUUCGAUUUUGUCUCUCGCAAGCUCCCGUCCGUGACAAGCCUCCCCGCCUGUGUACAUAAUGGUUACCUCUAAGGACGCCCGGCACCGUUCCUUGUUAGCUUCGGGUGAGCUUGGGGCAGUCGGUGUCGUCCUCUGGUUUUCAGUGUCACCCUGAGUAAAUCAGAGUGCUCAAAGCAGUCGUAAUGGGCCUUGUGCCCUGAGAACAGUCUUGACGGACUGACUUGGUUUUGCAUGGCAUGUCGGAAGACGACGUCGAGCGCUGGCUAAGAGUGUCAAUCAGUGGUAUAAGCCAGCCUCGACGUACUGAUUAAAAGGGCUUGUCGAGGGCAUUGGUAUUGCGGAGCGAGAGGUGAAAUUCUAUAACCUUCGCAAGACCGCCCGAAGCGAAAGCGUCUGCCAAGGAUGUUUUCAUUAAUCAUGAACGAAAGUUAGAGGAUCGAAGGCGAUCAGAUACCGCCCUAGUUCUAACCCUAAACGAUGCCAAUCACCAAUCCGCGCGUAGCACCCUUUAUGACGGGCUCGGCGGGCAGCUCCUUUCCACGGGAAACCAGAGUCUCUGGGUUCCGGGGGGAGUCUGGUUGCAAAGCUGAAACUUAAAGGAAUUGACGGAAAGGCACCACCAGGCGUGGAGCUGCGGCUUAAUUUGACUCAACACGGGCCAUCUCACCAGGCCAGCACUCUUGCAUGAUUGACAGAUUAAGAGCUCUUUCUCGAUUCAGUGGAUGGUGGUGCAUGGCCGUUCUUAGUUGGUGGAGUGAUCUGUCUGGUUAAUUCCGAUAACGAACGAGACUCUCCCCUGCUAACUAGUCGGUUGGAUCUUGCUCGGUGAGUCGUGUCCCGUGGGCACUCGGUGUGUGGUAACCUCGUGCGAUGUCCUGCCUUGCUUCGGGUGAUGGUGGGCUCGUACGUAGGCCCGUGCGCUAGAGGCCUCGGAUCUCACACUCCAAGUCCGCCGCUUAUGCUAAAACUCUUCUUAGAGGGAUCCACGGCUCUGAAGCCGUCAGAGACUGAGAGCAAUAACAGGUCUGUGAUGCCCUUAGAUGCUCUGGGCCGCACGCGCGCUACAAUGCCGGGCACAGCAGGUUCUUUUCCUGCUACGAGAGUAGCGGGCAACCCUCUGAAAGCCCUCAAUUUAAAUCGCACCUUGUGUGUGAGCGGCGUGCUUGGGCCUGGGGCUUGCAAUUAUUCCCCACAAACGAGGAAUGCCUAGUAGCGGUGGGUCACUGAGCCCACCGUGACUCAGUCCCUGCCCUUUGUACACACCGCCCGUCGCUACUACCGAUUGGGUGUACCAGUGAGAGCCUUGGACUGGCGGCCGUUUCCUUCGGGCAUACGGCUUCGACGGAAAGAGGUCCGAACUGGUGCACUUAGAGGAAGUAAAAGUCGUAACAAGGUUUCCGUAGGUGAACCUGCGGAAGGAUCAUUA
rnacentral:rRNA from 1 species